GAUGAACGCUGGCGGCGUGCCUAAUACAUGCAAGUCGAGCGAACAGACGAGGAGCUUGCUCCUCUGACGUUAGCGGCGGACGGGUGAGUAACACGUGGAUAACCUACCUAUAAGACUGGGAUAACUUCGGGAAACCGGAGCUAAUACCGGAUAAUAUAUUGAACCGCAUGGUUCAAUAGUGAAAGACGGUUUUGCUGUCACUUAUAGAUGGAUCCGCGCCGCAUUAGCUAGUUGGUAAGGUAACGGCUUACCAAGGCAACGAUGCGUAGCCGACCUGAGAGGGUGAUCGGCCACACUGGAACUGAGACACGGUCCAGACUCCUACGGGAGGCCGCAGUAGGGAAUCUUACGCAAUGGGCGAAAGCCUGACGGAGCAAAGCCGCGUGAGUGAUGAAGGUCUUCGGAUCGUAAAACUCUGUUAUUAGGGAAGAACAAAUGUGUAAGUAACUAUGCACGUCUUGACGGUACCUAAUCAGAAAGCCACGGCUAACUACGUG
rnacentral:rRNA from 1 species